rnacentral:rRNA from 1 species
GACGGAGGGUGCUAGCGUUGUUCGGAUUUACUGGGCGUAAAGGGCGCGUAGGCGGCGCGGUAAGUCACUUGUGAAAUCUCUGAGCUUAACUCAGAACGGCCAAGUGAUACUGCAGUGCUAGAGUGUGGAAGGGGCAAUCGGAAUUCUUGGUGUAGCGGUGAAAUGCGUAGAUAUCAAGAGGAACACCUGAGGUGAAGACGGGUUGCUGGGCCAACACUGACGCUGAUGCGCGAAAGCCAGGGGAGCAAACGGG